rnacentral:sRNA from 1 species
AAUAUUUAAAAUAAACUUACAUUUUCCCGAUUUUUUAAUAUUAAAAAAUAACAAACGGGGGUUGUUAAUAAUAGAUAUAUUAACACGGGGUUAAACGUAAACCCUAGGUGCGGCGUAAUUAACAACUAAUAUUAAAAUUGUUGUAAUAAUAACGGGAAACCCUUAUAAAUACAAGGUAAAAAUAUAUUAAUAUUUAAAAUAGGUAAUUAUAUUAGUUGGGGGAAGUUUUCCUUAUUUCCCUUCUUUACCCCCCGAUAUUAAAAUUGGAGUCCGUACACCAAAAAGAUUUCCGGUAUUAUAGGUGGGUUUCCGAAAAAUUAAUUUGUAUGGGUUUUUGAGAAAGAAACUGUUAUUUGCAUAUAAAAUAUUUUUGGGUUUGUAUUUAAAUGCGAAUUUGUUAAAGUUUUGAACCCGAUAUAAAAUAAUUAACUUAUAGGUGCGAAGUGCGUAUUGAAACUGGUAUAAAAUAAUUAAUCCCAUUUACUAACCUCAAAUCGCCAUUCUUAUAUCUAACAAAUCAAUAAAACUCGAACAAUCUCAUUUCAGCGCUAUGUAUUAUAAGUAAUAUCUAGACAAAAGUAAAUUUGUUACAUCCAAGAUAAUAUAUAAGAUUAAGAGGAAUAUUUACCAUAUAUAUAAUCUUGCAAAUAGUAAAUUUGCUUAUAUUUAUAUAUAAUUUAUUAUAUAUAGUUCGGAAAUGGAGCAGGUAAAGUUUCAAAUAUUAUAUUGGAUAUAAAAAUUGCAAAUUGAACAUUUAAUAAAUUAAAUCCAUUUAUAAUUGGGUUUAAUAUCAACUCUAUUUAUAUCGACGGAUUAAUUAUUUUAUAUCACGUUUAAAACUUUCACCAAAUUAAAAAACAAAUGCAAAUUUGCAAAUAUUUUAAAUGGAAAAUAAAAAUGUCUUUGGCGAAGGUUAUAAAUAAUAGUAAAUUAAAACAUUGCCUGCGAUGUCGGAAAGGUCUUUUGCCGUAACCCUAAUCUUAAUAAUAAAAUAUAUUAAAAACAAACUUUACGCCAAUAAUAUAAAUAUUUAUUUGUAUUUAAAUUUGAUAAAUUUUGCAUUUAAAAUAUAAUAUACUUAAAUAAUUAUAUUAAUUUGUCAAAUUUCGGCUAGCAAUUAUAUUAUAUUAAAAUUAAUAUUUAACUCUUUAUUAAUAAAUAUUAUUAUUUUAAUAUGUGAAGCUAAUUAUAUACUAACUUGGUUACGUAUACCAACGUCCAAUAUAUAUAAAUAUAUUUUAUUUUUACAAAUAUAUAAAACCAAUGCAUUUUUAAUAUAUAGUUUAUUAUUCAAGUAAUUUAAACGUUACAAAAUUCAAAAUCGAUUAGUUUUGCACCGAAAGUAUAUUACUAUUAGCCGUUUGGAAUUGGGCAGAGUUUUAAAAUAAUUAUUUUUUCUUUUGCUUUCUUAACCUUUAUAUUAAUUUAACCAAAUAUUUAACCAAACCCAAAUUUGGUACGUAUAUAAAACCAAACAACAGCUUUUUAAUUGGCUAAUAUAUAUUUAUAACGUUAAUAAUAAUUAAAAUAUUUGGAAAUAAUAUAUAUUUGCUAGUUUAAAUUUAUUGUAAACGUUAUUUUCUAUUUAUUUUAUUUAAACGAAUAUAUUUAUUUAGCUGGGUUUAUAUAGUCGAACAGAUUUCCGUACAAUACUAGUUUAAUCCUAGGAAUCUAAAAUGAAAAAGUGUCAUGCGCGUUACAAAGUCGUAUAUAAGUCAAAAAACGCGUUAUAUCAAAUAAAUAAAUAUUAUAUUUUUUAACAAAACGCGGAAACAAAACCGUUGUUAAUAAUUUAACUGGUUUCAGCCCGAAUUAUAUUUAGUGUGUUUAAAUACUUUAUCAAAAGUUGGAGUGCACGCCGUUAAGGUUAAUUUCGUUGGUUUAAUACGCGACAAAUUUUUAAAAUUCGAGUUUAAAUCCGGUUUAUCUGGGGUAGAUUUUAAUAUAUACGUUAGAAAUAAUAUAGUUAUUUGUAAUUAGAAGUGGGCUUGUAAUAUAUUCCGUUAAUUUUAUACAACUUUUCAAAAUAUCUGUUGUAAAAACGCAUAUUGAAUUAAAAUUUAAUUUAUAAUAUAUUUACUAAAUUAAAAAGAAAAUCCUACUAAUAGUGAAAAAACAAAUAUAAAAUUACCAGUUUUUGUUAGGUUUAUAUUUAAAAUCCUUUAUAUUUAAAUAUAUUUUCGAAAAAUUUCCAGAGUAAAAUUUUACUGGUAAAAUUUAGAAACAAACAUUUAAAUAUAAAGAAUUAUAUAAUUACAACCAAAAAGAUUUGUAAUUUUAUUUUUAUUCUUUUAUUAUUAUUAGGAUUUUUUUAUUCUUCUAUUAGUUGGUUAAAAUAUUAUUAAUUAAAUUGUAAUUUAAUAUUUAGUUAUAUAAUAUAUAUUUU